AGUGCCUGGCAGCACUGUGUUCCUGUUAGAGCCACCAGCACAAGCACCAGACGAUGCUGAUCCAGGUGAAGGCCCCAGUGCAGCAGCAACAGCACAUGAUGGAGACGAUGAUGAGGAGGAGACCAUCUCUCUGGAUUCCAGAAGGUAUGAGGUAUCAUGUUAAGACUGUGAAAGUACUAUUUACUCUACAAUGGUGAGGAGUCCUCAUCAAAAUCAAAAAAUCUAAUUUCUUUUACAGGACCCAGAUGCUAUACAGUGGGAAAACCAGCCUGGCAACAUAGUGCAUAUUAAUAAAAGGACACCACAUCCUGCCAAAUUCCAGCUGCGCUAAUUGUAUUGUGUUCACAGAGCUCACAAGCUAUCAGAAAGUUGUAUGGCAACCACCUCCGGCGCCAAAUAGAACUGGCAGACAUUCAGUACAAGAAGAAAAAGAUGGAAAAUCUUGCACUGAAGUCCGAAAUAAAAAAGAGGACAAUUAGGAAACUGGACCUUGAAAUAAAAAAACUUGAGAGGGAGCUCUAAGAAGAUGACACAGCUCAAAAUAAAAAUUAGGUAUAUUCUCGUAAAGUCAAGUGAGCCAUGACAUAUGAGCUCUUAUUGUGAGCACACAGGACGGUGGCAUCUUUCUAAGGUUUUUUUUAUUUUCCCAGCAAUCAGUACAACCAAGUCAUCGUUAUAAGG